rnacentral:lncRNA from 1 species
UUUGCUGGGGUGGAGGGAAAAUUGGGUUUUGGACUGUCUUUUUGUUUUGUAAGGCGACUGAUCUUUACUUCCUGCUGGAACUAAACUGCAGCUAUGGUGUGUUCCUUCUCCUUUUCUUGUUUACUUAUUUAUCACCUAAGAAAGUUUCCAGGUAGGAUUGUUGCCACAUAUAGUCCUGAUAAUUAUUUUCUUGUCCAGAAUUCCUCACAGCCUUCUUUUUUGAUCCCAUUGAUCUACGUAUCAUUGGCCAGGGGAGAUGAAUCUUCUGGGGACAGGAGAAUACUCACUCUUGCUAAACAAAUAAGCUAGUUUGCCUUUGCUUUAAUUAGGCAUAUUUUAAAGUAUUUAUUGUAGUUGCCAACUAGUAACUGGGUGGAAAAGUUGAUCUCCAAGCAAGAAAUGAAAAGUAAUUUGGUUGCUGACUGUAAUGUGUUUGGAGGCUCUUGUCUUGGAGUUUCAUGUCUGUGACCCAUGUUAUGAAGUUCAAAUAAAUUAUGAU